UACGUAGGGGGCAAGCGUUGUCCGGAUUUAUUGGGCGUAAAGAGCGUGUAGGCGGCCAGACAGGUCCGUUGUGAAAACUCGAGGCUCAACCUCGAGACGCCGAUGGAAACCGUCUGGCUAGAGUCCGGAAGAGGAGAGUGGAAUUCCUGGUGUAGCGGUGGAAUGCGCAGAUAUCAGGAGGAACACCAACGGCGAAGGCAGCUCGCUGGGACGGUACUGACGCUGAGGCGCGAAAGCGUGGGGAGCGAACAGG
rnacentral:rRNA from 1 species